rnacentral:ncRNA from 1 species
UUCUUAUCUUGAGAAGCGGAGGGACUGGCCCUGUGAAGCUUCGGCAGCGGACUUACAUGAUAAGUACUGUGCUAAUUCCUGCAAGCAAUAGCUUGAGUGAUAAGAA